GUCGCCUUAACAAGAACUACAAUGCAGUUAAAACAAUUGGUUUAUUAAAAACAGUGGGAAUACCGCCCUGACUCGGAGCGUAUAUAUAGUGUGGAUACUACCUUGACUCGGAAUUGAAACUAUCCACACGAAUGAAGGAUCGCUUGUAAUGAUAUUGAAACUUACGGAGGAUCACUCGCUUACAAAUCUCAAAGACAAAUGUGAGGAUGGCAGCAUAGGCGACGUCUUGAUCGAUCUUUUACAGAGGAAAGAUGUACGUGAACGACUUGAUCCUGACACGUACGAUUUCAAAAUGACAAUCCAUGCAACAAGGGAAGAUGCUCACUUUGUUGAAAUGAAGAUUGACGGAACCAUGUUCGCC